GGGCGGACGGGUGAGUAACGCGUGGGCAACCUGCCCCUGUACCGGGGGAGUAACACUUAGAAAUAAGGUGCUAAUACCGCAUAAGCGCACAGCUUCGCAUGAAGGACAGUGUGAAAAACUCCGGUGGUACAGGAUGGACCCGCGUCUGAUUAGCUAGUUGGUGGGGUAGAGGCCCACCCAAGGCGACGAUCAGUAGCCGGCCUGAGAGGGUGACCGGCCACAUUGGGACUGAGACACGGCCCAAACUCCUACGGGAGGCAGCAGUGGGGAAUAUUGCACAAUGGGGGAAACCCUGAUGCAGCGACGCCGCGUGAGUGAAGAAGUAUUUCGGUACGUAAAGCUCUAUCAGCAGGGGAAGAAAAUGACGGUACCUGACUAAGAAGCCCCGGCUAACUACGUGCCAGCCGCCGC
rnacentral:rRNA from 1 species